rnacentral:tRNA from 1 species
GGCUUGGUGGCUUAUCACAACUAGGGGCGGUCUUGAAAACCGUUAGGGGGCAACUCCACGUGGGUUCGAAUCCCACCCUCUCCG